rnacentral:rRNA from 1 species
GUAGUCAUAUGCUUGUCUCAAAGAUUAAGCCAUGCAUGUCUAAGUAUAAGCAACUUUGUACUGUGAAACUGCGAAUGGCUCAUUAAAUCAGUUAUAGUUUAUUUGAUGGUUUUUGCUACAUGGAUAACUGUGGUAAUUCUAGAGCUAAUACAUGCAUUCAAGCCCCGACUUCUGGAAGGGGUGUAUUUAUUAGAUAAAAAUCAACUUUGUUGGUGAAUCAUAAUAACUUCUCGGACCGCAUGGCCUCGUGCAGGCGGUGCCUCAUUCAAAUAUCUGCCCUAUCAACUGUCGAUGGUAGGAUAGAGGCCUACCAUGGUUGCAACGGGUAACGGGGAAUA